GUUUAACCAGUGGCUCUCCUGAAAACAAAAAAAAUCUCUGUUUUGUAGCAUUGGCUGGUUUGCCUGAUGCAAUACACGCUCUGUGGUUGGUUUCAAUUCCAUUGAAGAUGGAGUUGAAGAGAUACACACAAUCAUCUCUCUUGAGAUAGUCCGAGUGGGCUCCAGCUCAUCACUUAUUCCUCCACAACUUCCACCAGGACUAUGUGUGGUUCCCAUCUCACCAUCUAUGCAUACAAAUAGUUACUAUUCUGGUUCUCUCCUUAUCUGUGGAUAAUGCUAAACUGAAAGGUCUGCUGACACAGCCCAUUAUUGUGGCUUUUUGUCUACUGAACAUUUGAACUUCAUGAGCCAGAUUUUCAGCAUUAGGCUCCAGAUUCACAGGCAAUUCAAUUUCCUGUAAUGUUUUACCUUAGACAGAGAAGUAGCUAGCCUCCAGGAGGACCCCCAGUGAUCUUUGCCUCCUCGUAUUUAUACCCUGGUGUUAUCUUUUCCCGCAUUCCGUUGAUCACAGAAUAUGGCAGAAGUGGUGAUGUGUCACUUCCAAGAUUAAGUGAAAAAAACCAUUCUGGCUUCUGUCUUAGUCACACUUUCUUGAACAAUUCACUCUGGAGAAAGCCAUCUGCCAAGUCAUGAGCAACCCAAUGGAAAGGCCAGUGUGACAGGGACUAAAGCCUCCUACCAACAUGGGAGUGAGUCUGGAAGCGGGUCUUCAGCCACCGUCCAGCCUGCAGAUGACCACAGGCCUGGCUGGUACAGCCUCAUGAGAAACUCUGAGCCAGGACCACCAGCUAAGCUAUUCCUAAAUUCCUGCCACUCAGAAACUGUGUGAGAUUAUAAAUAUUUGUUGUUUUAAGCUGCUAAGUGUUGGGAUAAUUUGCUACACAGCAACAGAUAAUACAGGCAAUUUCUUAUUUUUAAGACCAAUAUUUUGUCUUUUAUAAUAAGAUUUAUUUGUAUGACUUUUGCCAACAUCACUCAAAUUAAAAGUUCUGUCCUUAUUAAUUCCUUUGAAAGUGUAUUUUACACACAUUAUUCAGUCCAUUCUUCCCUUCCUCUCGCUCCUCCAUCACCUCUUUCUCUUGUCUUUCAAUUUCGCAUCUAAUGUGCCUUCUACAAUAGCUAAGCAGUGGAGUCUGGUAGCAGAAGAUACAUGGACUUUGAUUUUUGAGGUGAGAGAUUUCCAGUUCUGGCUGCUGUGUGAUGUCGAACAGGUACUAACGCUUUCAAGGUCUCAGCUUCCUCAUCUGUAAAAUUGGGAAAAGAGGUAACUUUAAGAGGUAUUGUAAAGAUUAAGAACAGUUAAAUACGUGAAACUCCUAGCACGAUGUCUAGCAAAUAAUGUGCAUUCUGUAAAUAGUAGCUAUAGCACAAUAACCAUGUGACAAUAACAACAAGGGCGGUGAUCCCCAACUUUCAUGAAGAUUCCUGAGAGUCCAUAUAGCUCAGCCAAAGAUGUUUCAAAUAAACUGUUGUGAGGAUGGUGAGAGCAGAACACACUCAGUCCUCAUGGUUAUCCCUCCAGAGUGAGAGUGAAUGGCUCUUUACCAGCUGACAAGUGGGGGAAGGAGCCAUGUCAACCAUCAGGUGCAGGUUGAGUAGGGAGGGCUACGAGCUGCCUUGAUGAACUCUACAGGCAUCAUCUGUCAUCUGCCAUCCUUGAAUCUCCAAAAUCCUGGGCCUGGAAGGCUCGGUUUAGUUCAGUAAACCAUUAAUUGCUAGACCCACAAAAGUGAAUGAGCCCCUGGCCUUGUGCCAAGGAGUAGAUCAUCAUAAUCCUUUGUGCUACGUGCACUGGUGAAUGGAGAUCUGUCCCUGGUGUUAAGGGCUCAGGGAAGAGCACACCUAUGUCAGACUGAGCUGUAUGGGGUGGUAGUCAGGGAGGGCUUCCGGGAAGAGGCAGGCCCAAGUCAAAUUUUAAAAGAUGAGUUUCUUUCUCCAUAUCUUGGCAGGACAGGACUCAAGUCAUUCAAGUUAGCUAGGUUCUCACUCCUUAAAAUCUUCAUAUGGAAGUCUCUUUCAUCUGCUUUGGAUCUCGAGCUUCAGGAAGAAAGAAGCAUUUGGGUUUGGAAAACUGCCAUGGGACUUGGCUUUUGUCAACCAUUAGGAUGCCCUGGGAGACCACAAAAAUCCAGCUAACUCUAAGAAGACGAAUUCUGUGAACUCUGGAAUUCCUCAGCAUAGCAAGGUGGACUAUGAUUGGGGGUCAAUGCCUACACACCCAAUCCUAUGUUACAAAAAGAUUAUAAUUUUAUUCAGCAUUUCCAAAAGGGUAUUGCAGGGAAUACUGUUCCAACGAUGUUAAUGGAGGAAUACUGUGGAAAAAGUCAUCUGUGUUCAAGCAAGUUUGGAAAAUAUGUGGUUAAGUGGAGUUAAACUUUAUUUUCUACAGGAUUUCUCAUGGUUUCUCAUCUGCCAUCUUGAAUUGUGUAUCUCCAAGAGGGAGACUGUGUGCAUAUUUUAAAAGUCAAGUUCUAAUGUAAAAGGUAGAUGAUGCUUCUACUUUUGGGUUAUACCAGUAACACACCAUCAUGGGCACAUUGCUUAAAACUGCAGAAACACAGAUAUGGAUCUAUGUAUUUUGUGUGAAUGUGUAUGUUCUAAAAAAGAACCAAAUAAAUGCCUAUGAACAAGGAAAGGAUUAGUGGUGGUGGGGAUGGGGACGGAGGGGUUUCGUCUUAGAGAUUUAGAAAAGUCAG
rnacentral:lncRNA from 1 species